rnacentral:lncRNA from 1 species
UCUAGCUCCGCUGAUGAGUCAUACCAGGCCCAGUGACACCACUGUCACUAUCCUUAUCCAGCAGAUAGGACAUCGCCCCCCUCCAUCCCUCAGCCACCCCGCCCCUCCUGCCCAAGCUGGGCUGCCCUUGCUCUGUGACACCUCCUGAUGGUGUGACUGACAGUGACAUCGAGGCAGCUGUUGUCCCUCUGGCAGGACCUACCUUGCCUGGUGACUCAGACCCUGCUGCUGAGGGAUCUGACAGUGCUGUAGAUGGAUCGUGUAGCCGGGAGCCAGACUUUCCAGCCUUGCCACUCUCCCUGCUCUGAAAGUCACUUCUGGAUGAUCAAAUGAAAAUGCAGCUUCAGUCCGUGAACCCCAAAGCACCUUCUAAGCUCUAACAUUUGGGGACUGUCUGAUCCCCAUAAUUAUAAGCCGCAUGGAAACAGGCCCCAUGUCUAUGAAUUGACCAAGCUUAUUUUAUGUAAAUCAUACCUCAAAGUAGCUGGAAAAAGCAAAUCCAAAUGCUCAAGAUACAUGGCAAUCAAAAGAAUAUUCCAGGAUUACUGAGACCUUGGGUAUGUGGCCGGUACCCAUGAGAAUGGGAUCAGAGGUGCUAGAACCACGGGAGAAGACAGACACCAUCUGCUCCAAAGCUGCUGCCCGGACGUCACCCUCUACUCUUCCCCCAUCUUGGUGUCACCCCCUCCCCCCGGGGUCAAUAUUCCUGAGAGCAUCAUGGUUCUUUCCUGCUCCUCUGCUGUGCCUGGGUCCUUGUCUCUUUCUUUAUGUCCCAGGUAGCACCCGCUGGACCUCUUUCACUCAUCUUCCUUAGAAUCCAUCCUCCAAGUAGCAACUGGCCGGGCCUUUUAAAAACACCCAUCUGACCCUCCUUCAGGCCUUUUGGUAGCUCUCAUUUUUGUGCAGAAAAAGACUCCAAGUCCAAUGGAGUAAGCAUGCUUCUUAUCCCAUUUUGCAGAUUGGGGAACUGCAGCCUGAGCCAGUUACGGCGCUCUGGCUGGAGUUGACUGAACUCAGUCACCUGGUCACCUUCUAAAGGCCUCAGCUCC